rnacentral:rRNA from 1 species
UUAAUUUGAGAGUUUGAUCCUGGCUCAGGACGAACGCUGGCGGCGUGCCUAAUACAUGCAAGUCGAACGAACUCUGGUAUUGAUUGGUGCUUGCAUCAUGAUUUACAUUUGAGUGAGUGGCGAACUGGUGAGUAACACGUGGGAAACCUGCCCAGAAGCGGGGGAUAACACCUGGAAACAGAUGCUAAUACCGCAUAACAACUUGGACCGCAUGGUCCGAGCUUGAAAGAUGGCUUCGGCUAUCACUUUUGGAUGGUCCCGCGGCGUAUUAGCUAGAUGGUGGGGUAACGGCUUACCAUGGCAAUGAUACGUAGCCGACCUGAGAGGGUAAUCGGCCACAUUGGGACUGAGACACGGCCCAAACUCCUACGGGAGGCAGCAGUAGGGAAUCUUCCACAAUGGACGAAAGUCUGAUGGAGCAACGCCGCGUGAGUGAAGAAGGGUUUCGGCUCGUAAAACUCUGUUGUUAAAGAAGAACAUAUCUGAGAGUAACUGUUCAGGUAUUGACGGUAUUUAACCAGAAAGCCACGGCUAACUACGUGCCAGCAGCCGCGGUAAUACGUAGGUGGCAAGCGUUGUCCGGAUUUAUUGGGCGUAAAGCGAGCGCAGGCGGUUUUUUAAGUCUGAUGUGAAAGCCUUCGGCUCAACCGAAGAAGUGCAUCGGAAACUGGGAAACUUGAGUGCAGAAGAGGACAGUGGAACUCCAUGUGUAGCGGUGAAAUGCGUAGAUAUAUGGAAGAACACCAGUGGCGAAGGCGGCUGUCUGGUCUGUAACUGACGCUGAGGCUCGAAAGUAUGGGUAGCAAACAGGAUUAGAUACCCUGGUAGUCCAUACCGUAAACGAUGAAUGCUAAGUGUUGGAGGGUUUCCGCCCUUCAGUGCUGCAGCUAACGCAUUAAGCAUUCCGCCUGGGGAGUACGGCCGCAAGGCUGAAACUCAAAGGAAUUGACGGGGGCCCGCACAAGCGGUGGAGCAUGUGGUUUAAUUCGAAGCUACGCGAAGAACCUUACCAGGUCUUGACAUACUAUGCAAAUCUAAGAGAUUAGACGUUCCCUUCGGGGACAUGGAUACAGGUGGUGCAUGGUUGUCGUCAGCUCGUGUCGUGAGAUGUUGGGUUAAGUCCCGCAACGAGCGCAACCCUUAUUAUCAGUUGCCAGCAUUAAGUUGGGCACUCUGGUGAGACUGCCGGUGACAAACCGGAGGAAGGUGGGGAUGACGUCAAAUCAUCAUGCCCCUUAUGACCUGGGCUACACACGUGCUACAAUGGAUGGUACAACGAGUUGCGAACUCGCGAGAGUAAGCUAAUCUCUUAAAGCCAUUCUCAGUUCGGAUUGUAGGCUGCAACUCGCCUACAUGAAGUCGGAAUCGCUAGUAAUCGCGGAUUAGCAUGCCGCGGUGAAUACGUUCCCGGGCCUUGUACACACCGCCCGUCACACCAUGAGAGUUUGUAACACCCAAAGUCGGUGGGGUAACCUUUUAGGAACCAGCCGCCUAAGGUGGGACAGAUGAUUAGGGUGAAGUCGUAACAAGGUAGCCGUAGGAGAACCUGCGGCUGGAUCACCUCCUUUCUAAGGAA